ensembl:lncRNA
GUUUUCCUCCUAAGUCUGCGGGGCAUGUGGAAAAAAAUAGUUGCAAAAUAACUAUUUAGCUAGCAGUCUCCUAAAGAGUGUCCUCAACACACCCACCGCUCCAGGCCUCCUCCUUAAACUACUUCUCCAACAACCGGAAUCCGUCUCUAAAGUUUCUGUCUGGCGAUCUGCGCGCAUAGGUUCAAACCUAGGAAAAUGGGAUCCAAACACAGGGAGGAAGAAAAAAAAACGUCCUUUCCCCUUUGGCUGUGAACUUUCCCUUCUGGUAAGUUCUCCUUUAAGAAAUGAACUGUUCCCUAUGAAUAUUUAAUGCUGUUUGUCUGAAGUAUCCAGAUGACGCGUACUGGAGCCUGCCUCACAUACAGGUCCUGAAUUAUGGUGGAGUAAAUCAGCACCCUCUAAACGCACCCACCGCAAUGAGUUCUGGUGGCAUCCAGUUGCUAAUGCUAUUAAGCAUACGUAUUCCACACGAGAGAAAAGAAAAGAUAAAAUGUGGUUUCAUAUUUUGCUCAAAAUGAGACCGGUUUCCUGUCUGUGUAUCGAGUGGAAGAACACCGCAAGGGCUGAGUAAAUGGAAAACAUCCAAAGAGCAAAAGAGGGAAGAGGAUUCCUUUGGUCUGGUUUUGUGUUUUUGUCUUGUUCUUCCACCUAGAUGCCCUCUUCAAAGUUACAUAAGAAUUGGAAACAGUAAAAUAAAUUGCUUUAAUUGAUGAUGUGCCAUUACCCGGCCACACAGGUAUUAGUGGGUCCUUUUUACAAAGCUACUCCUGUGCAGGAUUUUCCUCAGGAACCUUCAGAAAGUGUCAAGGAGAAGUAGCCACACAGGACGUGAAAGAGUCUCAGCAGGGCAAGAAAGUACCAGGACUGCUUAGGACAGAGCCAGGAUUCCUGGAGCACUCUGUCUUUGGCAUCACUGCCCCCAGAAGGCAUAUUCCUGCCUGUGACCUAAAACAAGUCCAAACCAGCUACCUAACUGAAGUCAACUCCAGUCGCCUCUCACAGUACUACCAGUACCCCUAGUUCGCCUGACAACAAAAAACCCAGCAAGUCUCUGCUUGAACUAGCUUGGAAGCCAAGCCAAACCAACACCAGAGUCACCAACCCACAUCAUUCGGUCAGUUUGGAAACAGAAGGGGCCAGACCCUCUCCCAUCUCCUAACAGCCUCACCAAAAUGGAUAGAUUCUUAAAGCCCAACAGACACCAGAGUGCCAUUUAAAACCUAGGCACGUUUUUGGAGCCCAAGGGAACAAUUGACUAGAUUCAGUGUCUCUGGAACUGGGUACAUGCCUGUAAGGUGUGUGAUCCUUUAAAGAUCCGUGUUACUAGCUUUGCAUGAAGGCUUUGUUACAGCUUUGUCAGCUUGCUUGCAUUCAGCAACCUUGCUCCCACCCCCACCCUCCCUUUUCCUCUUCUCCCCUCAACUGCCUAUUCUAGCAAUGCCUGGCUGAGUUGUUUUGAAGCUCCCCUUUAAAUACAUUUCAUGCGAAAGUUGUAUGCUGACUAUGCACUGGGUCUCCCUUUGGGAACCGUGGUCUCCCUUUGCUUGUUGCAAAUAAACAGGAUUUUUACUCCCA